GUGUCAGGAGCACCUCCCCGCCCUUGGGGUCUAGACGAGAUGGCCAAGAACCCCAAACUCCGUGCUCCGGGGCGGGGGGCGGGGGGGCUGAAGCCCUCUAGGAGGAGGUCUGUUACCACCGGGGCUCUAUUCUUCCCCGUUUGACCCCCACACUGGUGCCUGCUCCAUACCACUGCUCCCCUCCUGGGGCCCCUCAGAAGCCCCCUCAUAUGAAGCAUUGUGGGAAGAGAGCAGAUGCCUCGGAGCAGCUGGUAGUUCUGAGGAGGGGGGGGGGUCUCACCAUAUCCCGCAGAGCGAGUAGCUCUAAGGUGACGUUUUAGACAGCUCCGAAUCUGCCCAUGGGACUCCUCACUUGGCCUCCCCCCUCCCCACCGCCCCCGCCACGGCAGCUCCUUCCUUCCUCCUCCCUCCUUCCUCACCUUCUCUUUGGAGACACGUGUCCCCUGCACCCUAAGCUUGCCUUCUUUCAAACAUCAGCUCCUGCCUUGUCAGGAAGCAAAGACUUUUCCAAACGAGCACGUCCUCUCUCGUCUCAUCAUGCCAGCUAGUGGAGCGGGGACAGUCCUGUGGCUCGGGAACAAUCCGACAGCACCUAGGAUACGAAGUAUGUGUAACUCUGUGGCGUCCCACAGGCAGCUCCCACGCAGGUCUACAGGAGCCUUCACGAGGAUGGUUCUCGAAGUGUUGUUUAUGGCAGGGUAGUGUAGGAUUAAAUCAGCGGUCCAGCGUCAGGAGGACAGAUAGGUGUGAGCCACGUGGCCGUCAGGAGCCACGAGCAAGGUGACACAUCAUCCCCGGGAGAUCCUAAGAAUAUGGUGCUGAGUAAAGAGGAGCAGCACAUGUGCUCGUAACAAACUUAUGAGCUGAACGUGAAUAUGAAUGUAAACAGCUGGCGAACCGAGACGUGCUCACUCCUUGCUCAAGCAAAGAAGCACCUCUAGCUGAAGAGACCAUUGUCCUUCACUGGCAUUCGAUUCACCCUACUGAUUCUCAGCCAUCUCCCUAUCCUGGCUCAUCGUGGUUGACUUCUCCGUCCACUGCAGUUCAGGCCUGUGGCAUCUGAUUGCUCUGACCAACCAAACGUCACAGGAAGCGAUGUGCGUGUGACUUCCAGGAGGAAGCUUUAAGAGCCCAUCGCCCGCCCCGGAUGCCUCUCCAUCACUCCCACCAUGUGGAAGGCUGCUCUUGAAAUGCUGUGUAUUAACUUCCCAUUGCUGCAGGCUUCUGUGAGCUGCCCGCACUCUUUGGCAUGUGGCCCCUUUCCAUCUCCAAAGCCAGCAACUGCUGCUCGAGUCUCAGAUCACGUCUCUUCUGCCUCCCUCUCCAUGUUUAAAGGACUCUUGUGAUGCCAUUGGGCCCGCCUGGAUAAUCAGGAUCAUCUCCUUA